GACGAACGCUGGCGGCGUGCUUAACACAUGCAAGUCGAACGGUAAGGCCCUUCGGGGUACACGAGUGGCGAACGGGUGAGUAACACGUGGGUGAUCUGCCCUGCACUUCGGGAUAAGCCUGGGAAACUGGGUCUAAUACCGGAUAGGACCACUGCCUGCAUGGGUGGUGGUGGAAAGCUUUUGCGGUGUGGGAUGGGCCCGCGGCCUAUCAGCUUGUUGGUGGGGUGAUGGCCUACCAAGGCGACGACGGGUAGCCGGCCUGAGAGGGUGACCGGCCAGACUGGGACUGAGAUACGGCCCAGACUCCUACGGGGGCAGCAGUGGGGAAUAUUGCACAAUGGGCGCAAGCCUGAUGCAGCGACGCCGCGUGAGGGAUGACGGCCUUCGGGUUGUAAACCUCUUUCAGCACCGACGAAGCGCAAGUGACGGUAGGUGCAGAAGAAGGACCGGCCAACUACGUGCCAGCAGCCGCAGUAA
rnacentral:rRNA from 1 species